rnacentral:rRNA from 1 species
UGAACGCUAGCGGGAUGCUUUACACAUGCAAGUCGAACGGCAGCGCGAGAGAGCUUGCUCUCUUGGCGGCGAGUGGCGGACGGGUGAGUAAUAUAUCGGAACGUGCCCAGUAGCGGGGGAUAACUACUCGAAAGAGUGGCUAAUACCGCAUACGCCCUACGGGGGAAAGGGGGGGAUCGCAAGACCUCUCACUAUUGGAGCGGCCGAUAUCGGAUUAGCUAGUUGGUGGGGUAAAGGCUCACCAAGGCAACGAUCCGUAGCUGGUUUGAGAGGACGACCAGCCACACUGGGACUGAGACACGGCCCAGACUCCUACGGGAGGCAGCAGUGGGGAAUUUUGGACAAUGGGGGAAACCCUGAUCCAGCCAUCCCGCGUGUAUGAUGAAGGCCUUCGGGUUGUAAAGUACUUUUGGCAGAGAAGAAAAGGUAUCCCCUAAUACGGGAUACUGCUGACGGUAUCUGCAGAAUAAGCACCGGCUAACUACGUGCCAGCAGCCGCGGUAAUACGUAGGGUGCAAGCGUUAAUCGGAAUUACUGGGCGUAAAGCGUGUGUAGGCGGUUCGGAAAGAAAGAUGUGAAAUCCCAGGGCUCAACCUUGGAACUGCAUUUUUAACUGCCGAGCUAGAGUAUGUCAGAGGGGGGUAGAAUUCCACGUGUAGCAGUGAAAUGCGUAGAUAUGUGGAGGAAUACCGAUGGCGAAGGCAGCCCCCUGGGAUAAUACUGACGCUCAGACACGAAAGCGUGGGGAGCAAACA